rnacentral:rRNA from 1 species
GAUGAACGCUGGCGGCGUGCCUAAUACAUGCAAGUCGAGCGAACAGACGAGGAGCUUGCUCCUCUGACGUUAGCGGCGGACGGGUGAGUAACACGUGGAUAACCUACCUAUAAGACUGGGAUAACUUCGGGAAACCGGAGCUAAUACCGGAUAAUAUAUUGAACAGCAUGGUUCAAUAGUGAAAGACGGUUUUGCUGUCACUUAUAGAUGGCUCCGCCCCGCAUUAGCUAGUUGGUAAGGUAACGGAUUACCAAGGCGACGAUGCGUAGCCGACCUGAGAGGGUGAUCGGCCACACUGGAACUGAGACACGGUCCAGACUCCUACGGGAGGCAGCAGUAGGGAAUCUUCCGCAAUGGGCGAAAGCCUGACGGAGCAACGCCGCGUGAGUGAUGAAGGUCUUCGGAUCGUAAAACUCUGUUAUUAGGGAAGAACAAAUGUGUAAGUAACUAUGCACGUCUUGACGGUACCUAAUCAGAAAGCCACGGCUAACUACGUG